rnacentral:rRNA from 1 species
GUGCCAGCAGCCGCGGUAAGACGAACCGUCCUAACGUUGUUCGGAAUCACUGGGCUUAAAGGGCGCGUAGGCGGGCAGCCAAGUCUGAGGUGAAAUCUUUCGGCUUAACCGGAAAAUAGCCUUGGAUACUGGCAGUCUCGAGGGAGGUAGGGGCAUGUGGAACUUCCGGUGGAGCGGUGAAAUGCGUUGAUAUCGGAAGGAACGCCGGUGGCGAAAGCGACGUGCUGGACCUCUACUGACGCUGAGGCGCGAAAGCCAGGGGAGCAAACGGGAUUAGAUACCCCAGUAGUCA